GAUGAACGCUGGCGGCGUGCUUAACACAUGCAAGUCGAACGGAAAGGCUCCUGCUUGCAGGGGUACUCGAGUGGCGAACGGGUGAGUAACACGUGGGUGAUCUGCCCUGCACUUCGGGAUAAGCCUGGGAAACUGGGUCUAAUACCGGAUAGGACGAUGGUUUGGAUGCCAUUGUGGAAAGUUUUUCGGUGUGGGAUGAGCUCGCUGCCUAUCAGCUUGUUGGUGGGGUAAUGGCCUACCAAGGCGUCGACGGGUAGCCGGCCUGAGAGGGUGUACGGCCACAUUGGGACUGAGAUACGGCCCAGACUCCUACGGGAGGCAGCAGUGGGGAAUAUUGCACAAUGGGCGCAAGCCUGAUGCAGCGACGCCGCGUGGGGGAUGAAGGCCUUCGGGUUGUAAACUCCUUUCGCUAGGGACGAAGCGCAAGUGACGGUACCUGGAGAAGAAGCACCGGCUAACUACGUG
rnacentral:rRNA from 1 species